ensembl:lncRNA
GUAAACUCGAACAAAACGUAAAGGGUGCUACACCUGAAACAGAAAAGCUAAAUGAGAUGGAGGGUAAACUCGAACAAAAUGUAAAGGUUGCUACACCUGAAACAGAAAAGCUAAAUGAGAUGGAGGGUAAACUCGAACAAAACGUAAAGGUUGCUACACCUGAAACAGAAAAGCUAAAUGAGAUGGAGGGUAAACUCGAACAAAACGUAAAGGUUGCUACACCUGAAUGUUAAUCCUUCAGGCUAUCGUGUUCUAAAAUAAUAGAACAAUGUGUUUUUUAUUGUUGAUUCCAUGUCUUUCGCAUAACCGUUUGCUAAUAUCUGAAAUGUAAUGCUGAAAUGUAACUUGAAAUGAAGCCCAACAGAUAAGAUAUUCUGUCAACGAGGCAUUUGAAUCAGUUACAAAUGAAUGACUGCUAUUACAUAUUUAUAUAUAUUUUUUUGCAUCGUUUGGAUUCUUCUCCGUUAAGCUUCGCACAAAAUCAGAUCAUCAUCUCCUCUCAAUUUGAGUCAAAUGGGAAUAAAGCCGAAUUUGAGAAACACACGUCACUUACGUCAUGUACGAUUUUAACACAACCUGUACACUUCACACACACUCAUCUUAAAUUAGGAUCAGUGUAACUAGGAUCAGCACGAUUCUUCGCUAGCCUAAUGAAUGAAUUGAGCUUAACGCUGAAAUGACUACGCCACUUAAAAUAUACGCAAACCAACAACAAACAACAAGAAAAACCUGUCCUUGUACUAUCUACUUACCUAAUAUCUACUUACCUAUUAUCUACUUACCUAUUAUCUACUUAUUAUCUACUUACCUAUUAUCGACCCUACCUAUUGUUCUAUGAAUCUCACUCAAACGUGGAUCAAAUCUUCAUCAAUCUCAGUAACUGUCAUAAGUAACUAUAUAUUUCUUAUUUGACUAACUAACAACCCUAUUGGGAUAAACCAUCUAGGACUAUUACUGCAGUUUGUUCCUCGUCCUGAAAUCAAUAGAGCUGAAGUGGAGACAUGAUCUGUGGACGCGGGGGGGGGAAGCAAGUUCUUUACAUAUAACCAAUAAACUCUGUCUGUAUUUCAUGGUGGUGAGUGUGAUGGAGGCAUUGAACUGAAAGGAGAUCUACGAACAUGUUAACCUUUUGAACGGUUCGAGGUUCCAGAUCACAAUGUGUCGUCUGGUCAGAUUAAUAAUACCGGUUUUAGUUCAAGGAGAAAGAAUUACGAGCCAGUUAUUGUGACAGGAAUCAGGGAGUCUCAAAAUGGCUGACAGAUUAGAGAGAUGGAUACACUCCUUAAUGAAACCUCUACGGACGUACACAUACUGACACAUCAAUAUGGGGAAGCAUUAGAAAACCAAUUAUAAUCAAAGCUCAUCAAUAAAAAAUAAAUCUCUAUAUUAUAAUGUACGGCAACAUACCAAGCGAGAUAUACCAUCAUAAUCCACUCUGUUAUAUAUAUAUAUUGAUGAUUCAUUCAUUCCAAUACUAUGGGAACUUGUUGGAUUAGAAUUUCAAACGUGUGAAGAAGGAAGAAUUAUCUGGAUAUAGAUAGACAGAGGUCGGCUUCCAUAAUAAAUGGACACUCAAAAAAGCAACACUUGGUAUCUGGCAAAAACAAACUAUGUAGGUACAUCAUCAUCAUCAUCAUUAUGCGUGUACAUCAUCAUCAUCAUUAUGCGUGUACAUCAUCAUCAUCAUUAUGCGUGUACAUCAUCAUCAUCAUUAUGCGUGUACAUGAUCAUCAUUAUUAUGCGUGUACAUCAUCAUCAUCAUUAUGCGUGUACAUCAUCAUCAUUAUUAUGCGUGCACAUCAUCAUCAUUAUUAUGCGUGUACAUGAUCAUCAUCAUUAUGCGUGUAAAACAUCAUCACUCAUCUUAACCUGCAUUGACCACUCACCACCACCACCACCAGGCAGCUCCUUACAUUAUUGCAAAGGGUCACUUUCAAAGUCGUUAGUGAAGAAUUUGAACAUUAAAUAAAAUGUGUGAUUACAUGAAAUGGGUCAUUCCGACUGUAUAACAGGAGGUACAUUUCAAUUCGACAAUAUGGCAAAAUCAAAAAAAAAAAUCACUUGAAAUAGGUGACCAAUGAGAAAAGGUAUAUAAUAAGGGAUCAAUUCUCUACUCUAAGAUUUUAAAAAUUGCAGUACACUAUUAAU